rnacentral:rRNA from 1 species
AUUGAACGCUGGCGGUAUGCCUUACACAUGCAAGUCGAACGGUAACAGGUCGUCGGAUGCUGACGAGUGGCGAAUGGGUGGGUAAUACAUGGGAACGUGCUCGAGAGAGGGGGGUAACGCGGUGAAAGAUAUGCUAAUAGCGCAUACGAUGUAAGGAUGAAAGCGGGGGAUUUAGGGAGCUUGCGAGGAGGGAGCGGGUGAUGGAAGAGUAGGUAGUUGGUGGGAUAAGAACUUACUCAGCCAGGGAUAUGUAGCUACUCUGAGAGGAUUAUCAGCCACACUUGGACUGAGACACGGCCCAGACUCCUACGAGAGGCAGCAGUGAGUAAUUUUGGACACUGGGCGGAAGCCUGAUCCAGCCAUGCCGCAUGCAGGAUGAAGGCCUUUGGGUUGUAAGCUGCUUUUGUACGGAACGAAAAGCCUCUUUCUAAUAAAGAGAGGUCAUGACGGUACCUGAAGAAUAAGCACCGGCUAACUACGUG